rnacentral:rRNA from 1 species
AGGACGAACGCUGGCGGCGUGCUUAACACAUGCAAGUCGAACGGUGACGAGAGAGCUUGCUCUCUCUGAUCAGUGGCGAACGGGUGAGUAACACGUGAGUAACCUGCCCCUUACUCUGGGAUAACUUCGGGAAACUGGAGCUAAUACCGGAUACGAGACGCACAGGCAUCUGUAGCGUUUGGAAAGACUUCGGUAAGGGAUGGACUCGCGGCCUAUCAGCUUGUUGGUGAGGUAAUGGCUCACCAAGGCGACGACGGGUA